GUCUGACGGAGCACGCCGCGUGAGUGAUGAAGGUUUUCGGAUCGUAAAGCUCUGUUGUUAGGGAAGAACAAGUACCGUUCGAAUAGGGCGGUACCUUGACGGUACCUAACCAGAAAGCCACGGCUAACUACGUGCCAGCAGCCGCGGUAAUACGUAGGUGGCAAGCGUUGUCCGGAAUUAUUGGGCGUAAAGGGCUCGCAGGCGGUUCCUUAAGUCUGAUGUGAAAGCCCCCGGCUCAACCGGGGAGGGUCAUUGGAAACUGGGGAACUUGAGUGCAGAAGAGGAGAGUGGAAUUCCACGUGUAGCGGUGAAAUGCGUAGAGAUGUGGAGGAACACCAGUGGCGAAGGCGACUCUCUGGUCUGUAACUGACGCUGAGGAGCGAAAGCGUGGGGAGCGAACAGGAUUAG
rnacentral:rRNA from 1 species